rnacentral:rRNA from 1 species
AUUGAACGCUGGCGGCAGGCCUAACACAUGCAAGUCGAGCGGAGCGGCGGAAGGGGGAGUAAUGCCUAGGAAUCUGCCUGGUAGUGGGGGAUAACGUCCGGAAACGGGCGCUAAUACCGCCUACUAUCAGAGGAGCCAAGGUAGGAUUAGCUAGUUGGUGGGGGAAAGGCCUACCAAGUCGACGAUCCGUAACUGGUCUGAGAGGAUGAUCAGUCACACUGGAACGGAGACCCGGUCCAGACUCCUACGGGAGGCAGCAGUGGGGAAUAUUGGACAAUGGGCGAAAGCCUGAUCCAGCCAUGCAGCGUGUGUGAAGAAGGUCUUCGGAUUGUAAAGCACUUUAAGUUGGGAGGCGUUACCAACAGAAUACGCACCGGCUAACUUCGUGCCAGCAGCCGCGGUAAUAC